rnacentral:other from 1 species
CGCCCCCUGCGGUGUACGUAACCGCCCAACGUCCUUGAACCUAUAACUCAUGACACGGGAGCCGCUCAAGUAGAUGCUGUUGUGCACGUCCGCUUCGCGCGGAAAGCCUGAUGCAUCUCGGUGGCACCCACCUGGACCUUCGGUUCAGGGCAACGGACGGUACGGCACAGGCGGAGGGCGC